AUCACUGGGGGAAAGAGGAGGUCAGACGUGUGUUCUCCAAAUGGGGUUAGUCUAACUCGAGACAGAGACUGUAAGGAAUACUCCCAAGCAGCUGCCCAAACUCUCUUUGUUUCGGGGAAGUUUCCCUGUCUUCUCUGGCCCGACUUGGACUGCUUAACCCCUCCCCCCUUGCUGGCGG